rnacentral:ncRNA from 1 species
ACAUUCGCCCUGGGGUGCUGCUGGAGACGGCGGCUGAGAUCACACCCAUAGAACCUGAAUCUGGAUAAUGCCAGCGCAGGGACCGGCAAGUCGGCUGAAG